GACAGAGGGUGCAACCGUUGCUCGGAAUCACUGGGCGUAAAGGGCGUGUAGGCGGGAAGAUAAGUCGGGCGUGAAAUCCCUGGGCUCAACCCAGGAACUGCACUCGAAACUGUUUUUCUUGAGUAUCGGAGAGGAAAGCGGAAUUCCUGGUGUAGAGGUGAAAUUCGUAGAUAUCAGGAGGAACACCAGCGGCGAAGGCGGCUUUCUGGACGAUAACUGACGCUGAGACGCGAAAGCGUGGGGAGCAAACAGG
rnacentral:rRNA from 1 species